ncrna:unclassified sequences L31-Firmicutes ribosomal protein leader
CUCUGGAUUAGCAAAUAAUUCAGGGCAGGAGGAA